rnacentral:rRNA from 1 species
ACGUAGGGUGCGAGCGUUGUCCGGAAUUAUUGGGCGUAAAGGGCUCGUAGGCGGUUUGUCGCGUCGGGAGUGAAAACGCCGUGCUUAACACGGCGCUUGCUUUCGAUACGGGCAGACUAGAGGUAUUCAGGGGAGAACGGAAUUCCUGGUGUAGCGGUGAAAUGCGCAGAUAUCAGGAGGAACACCGGUGGCGAAGGCGGUUCUCUGGGAAUGACCUGACGCUGAGGAGCGAAAGUGUGGGGAGCGAACAGGAUUAGAUACCCUGGUAGUCCACACCGUAAACGUUGGGCGCUAGGUGUGGGGUCCAUUCCACGGAUUCCGUGCCGCAGCUAACGCAUUAAGCGCCCCGCCUGGGGAGUACGGCCGCAAGGCUA